rnacentral:rRNA from 1 species
GUUGUAUAGUCAAGUAAUUAAGUGCAUGUGGUGGAUGCCUUGGCAGUCAGAGGCGAUGAAAGACGUGAUAGCCUGCGAAAAGCUCCGGGGAGGCGGCAAAUAUCCUUUGAUCCGGAGAUGUCUGAAUGGGGGAACCCACCUACUUUAAGGUAGGUAUUGCAACAUGAAUACAUAGUGUUGCAAGGCGAACGAGGGGAAGUGAAACAUCUCAGUACCCUUAGGAAAAGAAAUCAAUUGAGAUUCCCUCAGUAGCGGCGAGCGAACGGGGAUCAGCCCAUUAAGUUAUGUGUGUUUUAGUGGAACGCUCUGGGAAGUGCGAACGUAGAGGGUGAUAUUCCCGUACACGAAAGGGCACACAUAAUGAUGACGAGUAGGGCGAGGCACGUGAAACCUUGUCUGAAUAUGGGGGGACCAUCCUCCAAGGCUAAAUACUCCUGACUGACCGAUAGUGAACCAGUACCGUGAGGGAAAGGCGAAAAGAACCCCUGUGAGGGGAGUGAAAUAGAUCCUGAAACCGCAUGCAUACAAGCAGUGGGAGCACCUUCGUGGUGUGACUGCGUACCUUUUGUAUAAUGGGUCAGCGACUUAUAUUCAGUAGCGAGGUUAACCGUAUAGGGGAGCCGUAGAGAAAUCGAGUCUUAAUAGGGCGUUUAGUUGCUGGGUAUAGACCCGAAACCAGGCGAUCUAUCCAUGAGCAGGUUGAAGGUUGGGUAACACUAACUGGAGGACCGAACCCACUGUCGUUGAAAAGCCAGGGGAUGACUUGUGGAUAGGGGUGAAAGGCUAAUCAAGCCUGGUGAUAGCUGGUUCUCCCCGAAAGCUAUUUAGGUAGCGCCUCGGACGAAUACCAUAGGGGGUAGAGCACUGUUUCGGCUAGGGGGUCAUCCCGACUUACCAAACCGAUGCAAACUCCGAAUACCUAUGAGUACUAUCCGGGAGACAGACUGCGGGUGCUAACGUCCGUAGUCAAGAGGAAAACAAUCCAGACCGCCAGCUAAGGCCCCAAAAUCAUAGUUAAGUGGGAAACGAUGUGGGAAGGCAUAGACAGCUAGGAGGUUGGCUUANNNNNNNNNNNNNNNNNNNNNNNNNNNNNNNNNGAAGCAGCCACCCUUUAAAGAAAGCGUAAUAGCUCACUAGUCGAGUCGGCCUGCGCGGAAGAUGUAACGGGGCUAAAACUAUGUGCCGAAGCUGCGGAUGUAUACUUUGUAUACGUGGUAGGGGAGCGUUCUGUAAGCCGAUGAAGGUGUGUUGAGAAGNNNNNNNGAAGCAGCCACCCUUUAAAGAAAGCGUAAUAGCUCACUAGUCGAGUCGGCCUGCGCGGAAGAUGUAACGGGGCUAAAACUAUGUGCCGAAGCUGCGGAUUUGACAUUAGUCAAGUGGUAGGGGAGCGUUCUGUAAGCCGAUGAAGGUGUAUUGAGAAGUAUGCUGGAGGUAUCAGAAGUGCGAAUGCUGACGUGAGUAACGACAAAACGGGUGAAAAACCCGUUCGCCGAAAGACCAAGGGUUCCAGUCCAACGUUAAUCGGGGCUGGGUGAGUCGACCCCUAAGGCGAGGCCGAAAGGCGUAGUCGAUGGGAAAAUGGUUAAUAUUCCAUUACUUCUGUGUAAUGCGAUGAGAGGACGGAGAAGGCUAAAUCAGCCUGGCGUUGGUUGUCCAGGUGAAAGGAUGUAGGCAUGUAUCUUAGGCAAAUCCGGGGUACUCUAUGCUGAGAUCUGAUAGCAAGCUGUACUUGUACAGCGAAGUGGUUGAUGCCAUGCUUCCAGGAAAAGUCUCUAAGCUUCAGUUACACAGGAAUCGUACCCGAAACCGACACAGGUGGUCAGGUCGAGUAGACCAAGGCGCUUGAGAGAACUCUGCUGAAGGAACUAGGCAAAAUGGUACCGUAACUUCGGGAGAAGGUACGCUGUUGUUGGUGAUGGAACUCGCUUCCUGAGCUGACGACAGCCGCAGAAACCAGGCCGCUGCAACUGUUUAUUAAAAACAUAGCACUCUGCAAACACGAAAGUGGACGUAUAGGGUGUGAUGCCUGCCCGGUGCUGGAAGGUUAAUUGAUGGGGUUAGCGUAAGCGAAGCUCUUGAUCGAAGCCCCAGUAAACGGCGGCCGUAACUAUAACGGUCCUAAGGUAGCGAAAUUCCUUGUCGGGUAAGUUCCGACCUGCACGAAUGGCAUAAUGAUGGCGGCGCUGUCUCCAGCAGAGGCUCAGUGAAAUCGAAAUCGCUGUGAAGAUGCAGUGUACCCGCGGCUAGACGGAAAGACCCCGUGAACCUUUACUGCAGCUUGACACUGAACUUUGACCUUACUUGUGUAGGAUAGGUGGGAGGCUUUGAAGCUGGAACGCUAGUUCCAGUGGAGCCGUCCUUGAAAUACCACCCUGGUAAUGUUGAGGUUCUAACUCUGUCCCGUGAUCCGGGACGAGGACCGUGUCUGGUGGGUAGUUUGACUGGGGCGGUCUCCUCCUAAAGAGUAACGGAGGAGUACGAAGGUGCGCUCAGCGUGGUCGGAAAUCACGCGUAGAGUAUAAAGGCAAAAGCGCGCUUAACUGCGAGACCCACAAGUCGAGCAGGUACGAAAGUAGGUCUUAGUGAUCCGGUGGUUCUGUAUGGAAGGGCCAUCGCUCAACGGAUAAAAGGUACUCUGGGGAUAACAGGCUGAUACCGCCCAAGAGUUCAUAUCGACGGCGGUGUUUGGCACCUCGAUGUCGGCUCAUCUCAUCCUGGGGCUGAAGCAGGUCCCAAGGGUAUGGCUGUUCGCCAUUUAAAGAGGUACGCGAGCUGGGUUUAGAACGUCGUGAGACAGUUCGGUCCCUAUCUACCGUGGGCGCUGGAAAUUUGAGAGGAUCUGCUCCUAGUACGAGAGGACCAGAGUGGACGAACCUCUGGUGUACCGGUUGUGACGCCAGUCGCAUCGCCGGGUAGCUAUGUUCGGAAGGGAUAACCGCUGAAAGCAUCUAAGCGGGAAGCCUACCUCAAGAUAAGAUUUCCCUAGGACUUUAUGUCCUCUAAAGAGCCGUUCGAGACUAGGACGUUGAUAGGUUGGAUGUGGAAGCAUAGUGAUAUGUGAAGCUGACCAAUACUAAUUGCUCGUGAGGCUUGACUAUACAACACCCAAGCAGUUG